AGAAAAAUAUUCGUUUUUCAAGCGAAUAGAAAAAAAAGGAAGAAAAAAAGGAAGGGAAAGAAGAAGUAGGGUGAGGUGGGUAGGGGUGGAGAAGAAAGGGGAGAUGGAAUCUCCACAAUGAUGUUUUUAGUAUCCUCUAACAACAGCAGGUAGUUAACAUCUGUCCAUCGAUCGUUAUCCACCGAGUGAUUUUUCUUCGAGGGAAAAUGAAUUUCAUCUCCGUUGAGGCUUUCAUUUAUAAAACUACGAUGAAAAA